CAGCUUGCGCUGAGGAGAUCAGCGCCUCGGGCUGUUUGCCAGCUUGGUUUCUGCCUCUUGCCAGAAAAGCAGUGGAAGUGCGCGGCCACUUUGGCUCGCGUGGGGCUUGGACGAGCCUGCGGACUUGGAGGAGAAGGGCUAGGAAGCUUCAUCUGGAGCCGCUGUUGACUCAUGCAGCAGGUGGGGAGCAGCGGGCAGCGAUGCGAAGCACCCCUCACUGAAUCGUGCUGCAAUCUCUGUCUGGGGAAGGUGCUGGGCAGAUGUCAGAUCCAGCACGUCGGAGAGGAAAUAACACAAAGCACAUGUGCUCAAGAGCAAGAAGCAGCUUGGAAAAUAGCAACAGCGAAAGAGACAGAAUGUGACUUGGCACAGGAGGACGAGUGCUGCUGCUCUGCCACGCACCUCUCGCAGGCACACACUGCGCUGCGUGCCCUGCAGGACAAGCACUCUGCAUCUGCACACCACAAAAUGCUGAAAAGGAUUUCAAAACGUUUGGUGGCUACCACAGAGGAAAUGCAAAUGCUCAUCUUGAGAAGAUGCUGAGAAUGGAUAAGUUACUCUUACUGGUAUUAACCAGAUUUUUAAAAUGGGAAGUGUUUAUCCCUUGAUUUUCCAGACCUUAAACUUUUCUGCAAGACGUGCAGAUGUGUAUUCAUCCCCCAGAUUCUGUACCCAGACAGUCCUGGAAGGAGGAUGAGAGGACUUCAUCUCUCAGUGGUUCUCUGCUGCUGGGGCUGUAGGUGCAGGGUAGGUGCUGCAGGAGAUGCCAUAACCAACUAGCAUGUGCCAAAAACGAUGCCAGAAAGAGCCCUGUGCAUACUCUCAUUCCUCCUUGGAUAUCUCAGUAUCUCUGAUUUCCAGACUGAGCAAGAGCUGUGCCUGUGUGUGGCUGCUCAUGCUGUCCUCUGCCUGCCCCUAGCCCACCCUCGCUUUGGUCUGAUCUACCCCAGUGCUGGCAGACAGCUUUCUUCACCUCUUGCUGCAUGUGAAUUUUGACCACAGUAGUUAAUCUGUCCCACUCUUUCCCUAGGAAGAAAAACUAGGAAAGAUCCGGUCUCCGUGGAGGAAAUUCUUACCUGUUAAUUCUACAAAGCUCUGUGUACCUCACUGUACUAGAAAUGGGCUUUCACACAGCUGAGAAAUGUGUUCCGUGCCCCUUUUGUCCUUGCUGUUCUUGAACGCACAUAGCCCUGUUUAUAAUUCCUCCCACAGUCAUCAUUCCUAUAUUCUGGCAAAGCCCAUCAGCGUUCACAAUGCAGAAUAAUAACUACUGGCAAUUACCCUGCCAAUGCAAGCCAUGAAGAAAUGCGCAGUGCACAAUAUGCUGCUACCUAUAAUGGUUUUAUUCCAUGGUACCUGGGGGCACCAGCCCCUAGGAAAGGACAUCUGGCUCCUGUUUGUGAGAACAGCGGUUUGUGGGUUAUGGUUUGUAUGCGCCCGUGGAAUUUCUGAAGGAAGCAAUUCAGAACUUAAGCACAUUUCAUCAUUUUCAUUUAUGGCAGGGGAAAUAUGCAUAGUUAUACAUGCCCGAAGAGAUCAGGAGGAUUAUUUUUAAACUGAAACCUUUGAUGUUUUUACAGCAUUUACACAAUUCCUCUUAAACCAAUGUUUUCCUUUUUAAAAUUAGCAUCAGUGUUUGUUUCCUGUGUGAAACCUGGUUUGUGUCUGACCAAUUAAAGUGAAGAUAAAUGUGACAGGAAACUGUUUUGAAUACAGUACCUCAGCUGCAAAAUAUAACUUUUCUGAGUAAUUGAAAUGAAAGUCAGUAUCAGUAAAAAUAAAUCACACAAUUCAGUUGUGGCUGGAAAAUUACUACUGAGACUGGCAACUUGAUACAACUAUUUCUAUUACUUUCUAUUGAAUUAGGUAAGGCAAUAAAUACUUAAUAAGAAUAGUA